rnacentral:tRNA from 1 species
GUGCUUGUAGCUUAAUCGGAUAGAGCAUCAGACUACGAAUCUGAAGGUUGAAAGUUCAAUUCUUUCCAAGUAUA